GAUGAAGAACGCAGCGAAAUGCGAUACGUAGUGUGAAUUGCAGAAUUCCGUGAACCAUCGAAUCUUUGAACGCAAAUUGCGCUCGAGGCCUCGGCCAAGAGCAUGUCUGCCUCAGCGUCGGCUACUACCCUCAACUAAGUUUCCUAUACACAUAGGGGAUGCCGGUUGGAUCUGGCCGUCCGGUUUGCCUUUUAGGUUGCCGGUCAGCUGAAAUACAUUCACGCUCUGGGGGCUGCUUUCCUUCCGAGGAGAGGCGAGUUCCGAUUUGGUAGGUGACCUUUGCCGGUUGCAUGCCUUCGUUGCCCGCUAAGCUUUCCAGUAUGCGUUGUGCAGGACGCCUUUUGGCUUUCGACCUGAGGUCAGGCAAGAACACCCGCUGAACUUAAGCAUAUCAAUAAGCGGAGGA
rnacentral:misc_RNA from 1 species